AACCUACGGGACGCAGCAGUGAGGAAUAUUGGUCAAUGGGCGAGAGCCUGAACCAGCCAAGUCGCGUGAGGGAGUACUGCCCUAUGGGUUGUAAACUUCUUUUAUAUGGGAAUAAAAUGUUCCACGUGUGGGAUUUUGUAUGUACCAUAUGAAUAAGGGUCGGCUAACUCCGUGCCAGCAGCCGCGGUAAUACGGAGGAUCCGAGCGUUAUCCGGAUUUAUUGGGUUUAAAGGGAGCGUAGGUGGAUUGUUAAGUCAGUUGUGAAAGUUUGCGGCUCAACCGUAAAAUUGCAGUUGAAACUGGAG
rnacentral:rRNA from 1 species